AUUGAACGCUGGCGGCAGGCCUGACACAUGCAAGUCGAGCGGAUGAAGGGAGCUUGCUCCUGGAUUCAGCGGCGGACGGGUGAGUAAUGCCUAGGAAUCUGCCUGGUAGUGGGGGAUAACGUCCGGAAACGGGCGCUAAUACCGCAUACGUCCUGAGGGAGAAAGUGGGGGAUCUUCGGACCUCACGCUAUCAGAUGAGCCUAGGUCGGAUUAGCUAGUUGGUGGGGUAAAGGCCUACCAAGGCGACGAUCCGUAACUGGUCUGAGAGGAUGAUCAGUCACACUGGAACUGAGACACGGUCCAGACUCCUACGGGAGGCAGCAGUGGGGAAUAUUGGACAAUGGGCGAAAGCCUGAUCCAGCCAUGCCGCGUGUGUGAAGAAGGUCUUCGGAUUGUAAAGCACUUUAAGUUGGGAGGAAGGGCAUUAAGUUAAUACCUUGCUGUUUUGACGUUACCAACAGAAUAAGCACCGGCUAACUUCGUG
rnacentral:rRNA from 1 species